rnacentral:rRNA from 1 species
GACGUAGGGCGCGAGCGUUGUCCGGAUUUAUUGGGCGUAAAGAGCGUGUAGGCGGCCAGGUAGGUCCGGUGUGAAAACUCGAGGCUUAACCUCGAGAUGUCAUCGGAAACCAUCUGGCUAGAGUCCGGAAGAGGAGAGUGGAAUUCCUGGUGUAGCGGUGAAAUGCGCAGAUAUCAGGAAGAACACCAAUGGCGAAAGCAGCUCUCUGGGACGGUACUGACGCUGAGACGCGAAAGCGUGGGGAGCGAACAGG